rnacentral:rRNA from 1 species
UACGGAAGGCAGCAGUGGGGAAUAUUGCACAAUGGGCGCAAGCCUGAUGCAGCCAUGCCGCGUGUAUGAAGAAGGCCUUCGGGUUGUAAAGUACUUUCAGUCGUGAGGAAGGUGUUAAGGUUAAUAACCUUAGCAAUUGACGUUAGCGAUAGAAGAAGCACCGGCUAACUCCGUGCCAGCAGCCGCGGUAAUACGGAGGGUGCGAGCGUUAAUCGGAAUUACUGGGCGUAAAGGGCACGCAGGCGGUUAAUUAAGUUGGAUGUGAAAUCCCCGGGCUUAACCUGGGAAUGGCAUUCAAGACUGGUUAGCUAGAGUCUUGUAGAGGGGGUAGAAUUCCAUGUGUAGCGGUGAAAUGCGUAGAGAUGUGGAGGAAUACCGGUGGCGAAGGCGGCCCCUGGACAAAGACUGACGCUCAUGUGCGAAAGCGUGGGGAGCAAAC